GACGAACGCUGGCGGCGUGCUUAACACAUGCAAGUCGAACGGAAAGGCCCUGCUUUUGUGGGGUGCUCGAGUGGCGAACGGGUGAGUAACACGUGAGUAACCUGCCCUUGACUUUGGGAUAACUUCAGGAAACUGGGGCUAAUACCGGAUAGGAGCUCCUGCUGCAUGGUGGGGGUUGGAAAGUUUCGGCGGUUGGGGAUGGACUCGCGGCUUAUCAGCUUGUUGGUGGGGUAGUGGCUUACCAAGGCUUUGACGGGUAGCCGGCCUGAGAGGGUGACCGGCCCCAUUGGGACUGAGGUACGGCCCAGACUCCUACGGUAGGCAGCAGUGGGGAAUAUUGCACAAUGGGCGGAAGCCUGAUGCAGCAACGCCGCGUGCGGGAUGACGGCCUUCGGGUUGUAAACCGCUUUCGCCUGUGCCGAAGCGUGAGUGACGGUAAUGGGUAAAGAAGCACCGGCUAACUACGUG
rnacentral:rRNA from 1 species